rnacentral:rRNA from 1 species
UACGUAGGUCACAAGCGUUGUCCGGAUUUAUUGGGCGUAAAGGGAGCGCAGGCGGUUUGUUAAGUCUGAUGUGAAAGCCCACGGCUCAACCGUGGAACGGCAUUGGAAACUGGCAAACUUGAGUGCAGAAGAGGAAAGUGGAAUUCCAUGUGUAGCGGUGAAAUGCGUAGAUAUAUGGAGGAACACCAGUGGCGAAGGCGACUUUCUGGUCUGUAACUGACGCUGAGGCUCGAAAGCGUGGGGAGCGAACAGGAUUAGAUACCCU